rnacentral:tRNA from 1 species
AGGAAUGUAGUUCAGUGGUAGAAUCUCUGCUUUGCAUGCAGAAGAUCCAUGUUCAAGUCCCAGCGUUUCUC